GCUAUGCUGCUAGCUGCAAGUAGCCCUAGUACGACGACAAUAACGCAAAUUUAUUCUGAUUUCAGAACGCAGCUGUUCCAAAUCCAGUGUUACAUGGAUGGUUUAGUUUACACUCCCAUUUACACAUCUUCAAUGGAAAUACGUUUAAGAUGGCGUCGCUCAUUGACAACUAUGAGCAAGAAUACGCCGUUUUGACAGCUGACAUAACUGCGAAAAUCGGUAGAAUAAGGACACAGAGCGGCAAUGAGAGGAGAACAUUCGUCCAAGAUGUGGACAGGCAAAUUAAAGAUGCUCAGGAGCUGCUCGAGCAAAUGGAAUUGGAGGUUCGUGGGGUGACUGGUGCAUCCCGUGACCGCUUACGUGGUCGAGUAGAAAGUCACAGAGUAGAACUAAAACGAUUGACUCAAGAAUUCCAAUCGGCUAAAAUGCCAAAAGAAGACAGCAUUGAAUUAACCAGAGAUGAUUCCUGGGAUAACGGUAUUACAGAGGAUCAGAAAGAAAGAUUGUUGGAUGCUUCAGAGCGGAUAGAACGAAGUGGACGGACAUUACAAAAUGGUUAUCGAAUGGUACUAGAAACAGAAGAAAUGGGUUCUCAAGUACUGAAGGAAUUGCACAGUCAAAGGGAAACGAUUCAAAGAGGAAGGGGAAGACUACGUGAUACAGAUGCAGAGCUGGGACGAGGUUCUCGGUUAUUAUCAGGAAUGAUAUUCAGAACUCUUCAGCAAAGAUUUAUUUUAGCGGCAGUUGCGUUGACACUAAUAAUUGUUGGUUGCGUUGUCGUAUAUUAUAGCUUUAAAUCUAAAAGCUAAAGCUGCAAGUAGAGUGAUAUCUUGGUCGCAAUGAGGUUUUUGAACCAUAUUUAUUAUCAGCAGCCACAUGCCGAUGUCUCCCGUAUGAUGCCAUCCGAAUUCGUCGAUAACUUGAGCAGUUUUUUCAGGAUCCUUGAAAUAUCCCACGAACACGUUAGUGCCCUUCACGCACACCUCGCCUUUGCUCUUUCUGGCAUAGUAUUCCAUUUCCGGGACAUCUACUAAUUUGACGCAGCAGCAAGCAACCGGUGGACCUACGUGCUCCGGUACAUAAUCACCCUGUGAUAAUUUCAAAACCGUGAAUAAGAUGUUGAAUAUAGGAAUUAGUAAAGUUGAAUCGAACUCAAUUAUCCAUUUAAAGCCAGUUCUGCUUAUUUUGUUGUUUAAGAGUCGAGAAACGCCUUUGCAAGUUCACAGAGCCAUUAGGUUGAUGAUAGUUCUGUAGCAGUUUUAAAUGGCUAAUUGUUUUUGAACCAACUAUGGGCAUGAGAAGUUGAACAUUUAUUGCACACACUAUUAAAAUGUUACAGAACAAUUGUUACGCAAAUUGAAUGUUCCUUUUGGGAACAUGUUCACUAGUUAUCGUACAAUAAUGAACGUAAAAAAUAUAACUGUUCGUUUUAGUGAUGUUAAGGAUGCUUAUUAUAAAGAUACGUUAGUUGGAAAAGUAAA